GAUCAUGGCGUCAGGAUGAACGCUGGCGGCGUGCCUAACACAUGCAAGUCGAACGAAGCACUCUUGUUGAUCCUUCGGGUGAUACUUUAGUGACUGAGUGGCGGACGGGUGAGUAACGCGUGGGUAACCUGCCCUGUACAGGGGGAUAACAGUCAGAAAUGACUGCUAAUACCGCAUAAGCGCACGAGAGGACAUCCUCUAGUGUGAAAAACUCCGGUGGUACAGGAUGGGCCCGCGUCAGAUUAGCUAGUUGGCGGGUAAUAGCCCACCAAGGCGACGAUCAGUAGCCGGUCUGAGAGGAUGAACGGCCACAUUGGAACUGAGACACGGUCCAAACUCCUACGGGAGGCAGCAGGUGGGAAUAUUGCACAAUGGGGGAACCCUGAUGCAGCAAACCGCCGCGUGAGUGAAGAAGUAUUUCGGUAUGUAAAGCUCUAUCAGCAGGGAAGAUAAUGACGGUACCUGACUAAGAAGCUCCGGCUAAAUACGUGCCAGCAGCAGC
rnacentral:rRNA from 1 species